rnacentral:rRNA from 1 species
AUGGACUGCAUGGUCUGGAAGGUUUGGGCUCCUCCCAAGGUUAAAUUCUUUGCCUGGUUGGCAUUGCAAGAUAGGAUUUGGACCGCCGAUCGCUUGGAGAGGCGUGGGUGGCCAAAUUGUGGCCUCUGCCCUCUUUGCAAGAGGGAGCAGGAAACGGGUGCUCACCUUUUCUUCAAGUGCCGCUACACGAUUAGGCUUUGGAGAGACAUCAUCGAGAAGAUUGGCUUACAUCACAUGGAUACAUCAACGUGGCACCUCCACGAAACCGUCAAAGAGUGGUGGGACAAGAGAACCGACAGUACUAAUCCUAAUUGGCAUGCUAUGGCCUCCCUCACCAUGCUUGUCUCUUGGACAAUUUGGAACGAAAGAAAUGCUAGAGUGUUCCGUCACAAGUGCAUCCCACCGCCUAUUAUCCUUACCACCAUUCUGGACGAGGCCAAGCUUUGGGUAACCGCGGGCGCUAAAAGACUAGGGAACUUGUUGUUGGGUGAGUAA